UCCAGCGUCUGGUGGCUCCAGGUUGAAGACCUGAAAACUGUGACCCCUGUUGCCUAGCAACUGAGAAGCUCAGCCUCAACUCCGGGUGGGGGAGAUGAUGGAGAAAGGACAAUUGCUCUGAGCUUUCAGUCACCAUGUGAGAAGUCUGGCUACCCUGAGGCCAGCACAUGCAGAGACCACAUGGAGAGAUGAGAGGCAGAGAGAGCCGCCCAAGGAACUCCAGCUGUUCCAGCACCCAGCUGUUUGAAUCCUCCCAGCCCAGGCACUAAACGUGAAUGAAAAGCUCUCAAGACAACCUCAGCCCUCGGACCCAGCCACAGACUGAUUGCCACUGUAUGAGAGACCUCAGAUGAAAACUGUCAAGUGGAGCCCGGCUAGCUAACAGAUUUAUAAGCAAAAUAAGUGAUUGUUAUUGUUUCAAGCCACCAUUUUGAAGUGGCUUUUCUGCAGCAAUAGAUGCCUGGAGGAGUCCUAAUAAUAAAAAUUAAUCAGAUGGAGGAUCUGCUUUUUUAUUUUCUCUUAGGACUAAGGAAAGGCUUGGUAUAAUCUUUGAACUGAGAUAAAGAAUAAGUUACUCUUAAAAUUUUCCAACAAAUGGAGUCCUUAUUGUCUGUAGUUAGUACCCAAAGCUUAGACACUUUCUCUCUACAUACCCUUCCAAGGAUAAGGCUGUAUUUUGUAAUGCCAGAUGACACAAUCUGAUAAACAAGCAGACACCCAUUAAAAUGAAUGAAUGUCAAAAUUUUUUCAUGCUUAUUUGUUAUUAACGACUGAGAAUGUGAAGGUGCAAUUCAAAUAGUUUAUUAUUGUUAUAGGUUUGUGGCAAUAUAUUACAGUUUACGCCUUGGCUUAGAAGUUGAUUACAAGUUUUAUGAGACUGAGUGCCUGUUAUUGGCAAUCUUGAUGUUUUCUUUUUCCCUGUAACAUGUCACAGACAAUUGAUUUAUAUGUAGUCAAUGAUUUUUUAUACUAUAUCAUUUCAAUAAAAAAAUUAAAGAAGAAAGUGUGUAGUAGGGAGUGGAAAGAAGACAAUGAAGGCUGCAUCAGUCAUGGUGGGAUUUGAAAAUGUAUUAAUAAUCUGC
rnacentral:lncRNA from 10 species